GUGGGGAAUCUUGCGCAAUGGGCGAAAGCCUGACGCAGCCAUGCCGCGUGAAUGAUGAAGGUCUUAGGAUUGUAAAAUUCUUUCACCGGGGACGAUAAUGACGGUACCCGGAGAAGAAGCCCCGGCUAACUUCGUGCCAGCAGCCGCGGUAAUACGAAGGGGGCUAGCGUUGCUCGGAAUUACUGGGCGUACAGGGCGCGUAGGCGGACAGUUUAGUCAGAGGUGAAAGCCCAGGGCUCAACCUUGGAAUUGCCUUUGAUACUGGCUGUCUUGAGUACGGGAGAGGUGAGUGGAACUCCGAGUGUAGAGGUGAAAUUCGUAGAUAUUCGGAAGAACACCAGUGGCGAAGGCGACUCACUGGCCCGUUACUGACGCUGAGGCGCGAAAGCGUGGGGAGCAAACAGGAUUAGAAACCCCUGUAGUCC
rnacentral:rRNA from 1 species